CCGUACAUAGAGUACGGACUUAUGGGGACAACACCCCGUAGACCUAGAACGUCAAAAGGAGAAAACAAAUG
rnacentral:ncRNA from 1 species